CUCAGAACGAACGCUGGCGGCAUGCCUAACACAUGCAAGUCGAACGAAGCCUUCGGGCUUAGUGGCGCACGGGUGCGUAACACGUGGGAAUCUGCCCUUAGGUACGGAAUAACAGUUAGAAAUGACUGCUAAUACCGUAUGAUGACUCCGGUCCAAAGAUUUAUCGCCUAAGGAUGAGCCCGCGUCGGAUUAGCUAGUUGGUGAGGUAAAGGCUCACCAAGGCGACAAUCCGUAGCUGGUCUGAGAGGAUGAUCAGCCACACUGGGACUGAGACACGGCCCAGACUCCUACGGGAGGCAGCAGUGGGGAAUAUUGGACAAUGGGGCGAAAGCCUGAUUCAGCAAUGCCGCGUGAGUUGAAGAAGGCCUUAGGGUUGUAAAGCUCUUUUACCCGGGAUGAUAAUGG
rnacentral:rRNA from 1 species